rnacentral:rRNA from 1 species
GACGAACCGAGCGAACGUUGUUCGGAAUCACUGGGCUUAAAGGGCGCGUAGGCGGGUGCUCAAGUCCGUGGUGAAAUCCUCCGGCUCAACCGGAGAACUGCCUCGGAUACUGGGUGCCUCGAGGGUGGUAGGGGUAUGCGGAACUAUCGGUGGAGCGGUGAAAUGCGUUGAUAUCGGAAGGAACGCCGGUGGCGAAAGCGACGUACUGGACCUCUUCUGACGCUGAGGCGCGAAAGCUAGGGGAGCAAACGGG